GCCCAAAGUCGCACGUGCCUGUGGGCGUCCCCCGGGCCUCGGAAUGGCGAGGCGAUCGGGACGGUACCCGGGAAGUAACGAGCCCGGUCGGUUCAGCGGCCAACCGCCGAUCCGAGGACGCCUUGAAGCAACGACGGUGCGGGCCUUU
rfam:Rhizobiales bacterium 65-79 SCNpilot_cont_1000_bf_scaffold_432, whole genome shotgun sequence.